AUGAUCCAGUAUGCUCAUAAAAGAAAACUGCCAGCCAUUGCUUUGAAGUUGGACUUUCAUAAGGCCUUCGACAACGUCAGUUGGUGUUGCCUUCACAAGAUUUUUGAAGCAAGAGGCUUUCCGCAAGUGUGGACAAACUGGAUAUUCACUCUCCUGUCUACUGGCAGCUCUAGAGUCCUUCUCAACGGUGAAUUGGGUGCCCCCAUCCUGGCUAAGAAAGGUUUUCGGAAGGGGGAUUCUCUAUCCCCAUACCUUUUCAUUCUUGUAGCUGAUGUGCUUCAUAGGAUG
rnacentral:rRNA from 1 species